GAGUACGGCCGCAAGGCUGAAACUUAAAGGAAUUGGCGGGGGAGCACUACAACGGGUGGAGCCUGCGGUUUAAUUGGACUCAACGCCGGAAAACUCACCGGGGGCGACAGCAAUAUGUAGGUCAGGUUAAAGGUCUUACCUGAAUCGCUGAGAGGAGGUGCAUGGCCGUCGUCAGUUCGUACUGUGAAGCAUCCUGUUAAGUCAGGCAACGAGCAAGACCCGUGCCCACUGUUACCAGCAUAUCCUUUAUGGAUGAUGGGGACUCUGUGGGGACCGCUGCUGCUAAAGCAGAGGAAGGUGCGGGCUACGGUAGGUCAGUAUGCCCCGAAUCUCCCGGGCUACACGCGGGCUACAAUGGUUGGGACAAUGGGUAUCUACUCCGAACGGAGUUGGCAAUCUCUUAAACCCAAUCGUAGUUCGAAUUGAGGGCUGUAACUCGCCCUCAUGAAGCUGGAAUCCGUAGUAACCGCGUUUCAACAUAGCGCGGUGAAUCUGUCCCUGCUCCUUGCACACACCGCCCGUCAAACCAUCCGAGUGAGGUAUGGGUGAGGGCACGAACUUAGUGUCGUGCUCGAACCUAAAUUUCGCAAGGAGGGUUAAGUCGUAACAAGGUAGCCGUAGGGGAAUCUGCGGCUGGAUCACCUCCU
rnacentral:rRNA from 1 species